rnacentral:lncRNA from 1 species
ACAUGAACUGAGAACAGCUAGAGAUGACCCACUUUUCCUGCAAGGCAGAGUCACAGCUGAAGGGAGCAGAUAGGGACGAGGGGAUCCCCAGGCACGGUCUGCCAGCCAGGGAAAGUUCUGAUAGUGGAUUCCUUCCCAGGCUUUCUUUGCUUAGGACAAAGAAAGGUGUGAAGAUCGCAUGGGAUCCAGUCUGCCUUGACUUGGAAAACUGGAAUUCCAUCCGAGCUUGAGUCCAGAAUGGCAGCAAGGGCAUUCAUCCUGGCAGGUUACCGGAAGAAGAGCAUGAGACAAAAGUGCGAAUCUGUGGCAUGCAAUGGAAAGGUUUUUAUCCAGGUUCAAAGUCUGAUUUGAAACAGUUUGUGUUGCAGUUGUUUAUAGUCGGGAUGUAAGUCUCUCUUCCGAGAAAAAUAAUUUUAAGUGGAAAAAAAAUAAGUUGAGG